CUUCCACGUUUCUUCACCGACUUCAACUGUACUGAGUGAAGCAAGCAAAACGGUAAGGAAACUGAAAGCAGCAAGCAUUGGGCGCGCAGCGCAGCAGCGACGUCGGCAGCAGAUAAAUUGCCGGCUGGGCUGUUUGUCUGACCGAGAGAUUGAGAGAGAGAGCGUGAGAGACCGAAAAGAGAGAGCACAAAGAGCGAGGCAAAGCAGAAACACGGUUAAAUGACGAGUAAAAACAAAUACAAAUACGGAAACAAAGUAAAAUAUGUGAAUAGGCCGAAAAAGCGCGCAUUUUGGUUAGCUGCGCGCGGGAUUAUAAAAACAAAAUAUUGCCCAAGAAGAAUGUAACGCAUGGCUCAAAAACAAUUAUGCAAAAUUAAUUAAAUGAAUGGCCUAGGCAGCCAUUUUGACUUGGCGCCGCUCACGGCGAGCAAAAAACCCGAAAUGGCAACGCUUUGGUCUCUUGGUACAGCAGCGUCGUACUUUUCACAGCGACGAACUGAAGUGUGCUCUAGAGAGAAGGCAAAAAGUGUGAACGAUGACUGAAAAAAGUCGUUAAUUCAUUUGAUUGUCCUAAUAAACGAUGUUUCACUGCACUAUUUUAAAAAAAAUUUGUAUAUACUUGUCUUGACUCAACCAACCUUUCUUGUGUGCUGCUCAAUUUCAACUGUACGGACUUAGCGUCUGCCGUCAUAACGAAAGCAAGCAGCUGCCAGCUGGUAAAAACGGUGAGAGCGGCGCAGUCGACGCAGGCAGCAAUGCUGUUUAAGAUGAGUGCGUGACGCAACAUGCGCUUCAACAAUUCACGACUUGGCACGUCUUUUGAAAAAAAAACGUAACAAUAUAUAAAUUUAUCGUUAAAAAUGUUUGCGAGCUGCUGCGCAGAUAAUUCGUGCUGUCUCACGACACGUAACCAUAUCUAGGAGAGUCAACAUGAGAGAGCGAGAGGAAAUACAGCCGGCAAAUUAUCUGAGACGCUCGUUGAGAUAAAUCAGAAGUAUAAAGUUAAAGCAGAAACACCGCUAAAAGCCAUGUAAAAACAAAAACAACGUCAAUAAAAUGCUGUUUGAAAUGUAAAUAGAAUAAAUGACGAACACAAAGCGCAUUUGCAAUAAAAACAAAUUCAAAUUAGCUAACUUACAAAUAUGAACCAUCCAAAAUAUUCCUAAUGUGCCCCAUAUUUUCCCUAUGAGAGGUACGCAUACACACCAAAGGCGAGACCAGUCAAUGGCUCUCUCACUGGUACAUACAAAAAGAGCUCUAACUGAGACUGGACUUAAAAAUGGCGCCA